rnacentral:rRNA from 1 species
ACAUGCAAGUCGAACGGUGAACCGGGCUUCGGCCCGGGGAUCAGUGGCGAACGGGUGCGUAACACGUGGGCAACCUGCCCCUCACUCUGGGAUAACCCCGGGAAACCGGAGCUAAUACCGGAUACUCCGCGCGGUCCGCAUGGGCCGCUCGGGAAAGGUCCGCCGGUGAGGGAUGGGCCCGCGGCCUAUCAGCUUGUUGGUGUGGUAACGGCUCACCAAGGCGACGACGGGUAGCUGGUCUGAGAGGACGACCAGCCACACUGGGACUGAGAUACGGCCCAGACUCCUACGGGAGGCAGCAGUGGGGAAUCUUGCGCAAUGGGCGAAAGCCUGACGCAGCGACGCCGCGUGGGGGAUGAAGGCCCUCGGGUUGUAAACCCCUUUCGGCAGGGACGAAGCGAUCGUGACGGUACCUGCAGAAGAAGCCUCGGCUAACUACGUGCCAGCAGCCGCGGUAAGACGUAGGAGGCGAGCGUUGUCCGGAUUCAUUGGGCGUAAAGAGCACGCAGGCGGUUUGGCAAGUCGGAUGUGAAAACCCGAAGCUCAACUUCGGGCCUGCAUCCGAAACUGCCCGACUAGAGGUAGGUAGGGGAGA